GGGAGUAAAAGUCGUAACAAGGUUUCCGUAGGUGAACCUGCGGAAGGAUCAUUCAUAAUAAAGUGUUUUAUGGCACUUUUUAAAAAUCCAUAUCCACCUUGUGUGCAAUGUUAGAUCUCGUCAAUCUUGGCGAGAUUUUUAUACAUCAACUCAUUCUUUAACUAAUUUGUCUGAAAAAUAUUAUGAAUACUUAAUUCAAAAUACAACUUUCAACAACGGAUCUCUUGGCUCUC
rnacentral:misc_RNA from 1 species